UACGAAGGGGACUAGCGUUGUUCGGAAUCACUGGGCGUAAAGCGCACGUAGGCGGAUUUGUAAGUCAGGGGUGAAAUCCCGGGGCUCAACCUCGGAACUGCCUUUGAUACUGCGAAUCUUGAGUCCGAUAGAGGUGGGUGGAAUUCCUAGUGUAGAGGUGAAAUUCGUAGAUAUUAGGAAGAACACCAGUGGCGAAGGCGGCCCACUGGAUCGGUACUGACGCUGAGGCGCGAAGGCCAGGGGAGCGAACGGG
rnacentral:rRNA from 1 species